rnacentral:rRNA from 1 species
AUUGAACGCUGGCGGCAGGCUUAACACAUGCAAGUCGAGCGGAGAUGAGGUGCUUGCACCUAAUCUUAGCGGCGGACGGGUGAGUAAUGCUUAGGAAUCUGCCUAUUAGUGGGGGACAACAUUCCGAAAGGAAUGCUAAUACCGCAUACGCCCUACGGGGGAAAGCAGGGGAUCUUCGGACCUUGCGCUAAUAGAUGAGCCUAAGUCGGAUUAGCUAGUUGGUGGGGUAAAGGCCUACCAAGGCGACGAUCUGUACCGGGUCUGAGAGGAUGAUCCGCCACACUGGGACUGAGACACGGCACAGACUCCUACGGGAGGCAGCAGUGGGGAAUAUUGGACAAUGGGCGGAAGCCUGAUCCAGCCAUGCCGCGUGUGUGAAGAAGGCCUUUUGGUUGUAAAGCACUUUAAGCGAGGAGGAGGCUACCUGGAUUAAUACUCUAGGAUAGUGGACGUUACUCGCAGAAUAAGCACCGGCUAACUCUGUGCCAGCCGCCGCAGUAACAC